GAUCAUGGCUCAGAAUGAACGCUGGCGGCAUGCCUAACACAUGCAAGUCGAACGAAGGCUUCGGCCUUAGUGGCGCACGGGUGCGUAACGCGUGGGAAUCUGCCCUCAGGUUCGGAAUAACAGCGAGAAAUUUGCUGCUAAUACCGGAUGAUAUCGCGAGAUCAAAGAUUUAUCGCCUGAGGAUGUGCCCGCGUAGGAUUAGCUAGUUGGUGUGGUAAAGGCGC
rnacentral:rRNA from 1 species